GUAGCAAUACUUUUGGUGGCGACCGGCGCACGGGUGAGUAACACGUAUGCAACCUACCUGUAAGCGGGGAAUAACCCGAAGAAAUUCGGACUAACACCGCAUAAUACUGUUGAACCGCAUGGUUUAACAGUUAAAUAUUCAUAGCUUACAGAUGGGCAUGCGUAUGAUUAGCUAGUUGGUGGGGUAACGGCUCACCAAGGCAACGAUCAUUAGGGGUUCUGAGAGGAAGGUCCCCCACACUGGUACUGAGAUACGGACCAGACUCCUACGGGAGGCAGCAGUGAGGAAUAUUGGUCAAUGGGCGAGAGCCUGAACCAGCCAAGUCGCGUGAAGGAAGAAGGUUCUAUGGAUUGUAAACUUCUUUUGUAAGGGAAUAAAGUGCGCUACGUGUAGCGUUUUGUAUGUACUUUACGAAUAAGGAUCGGCUAACUCCGUGCCAGCAGCCGCGGUAAUACGGAGGAUCCGAGCGUUAUCCGGAUUUAUUGGGUUUAAAGGGUGCGCAGGCGGACCCUUAAGUCAGUGGUGAAAGUUUGCAGCUCAACUGUAAAAUUGCCAUUGAAACUGAGGGUCUUGAGUGUAAAUGAGGUAGGCGGAAUGUGUUGUGUAGCGGUGAAAUGCUUAGAUAUAACACAGAACACCAAUUGCGAAGGCAGCUUACUAGGAUACAACUGACGCUCAGGCACGAAAGCGUGGGGAUCAAACAGGAUUAGAUACCCUGGUAGUCCACGCAGUAAACGAUGAAUACUAACUGUAUGCGAUAUAGUGUAUGUGGUAAAGCGAAAGCGUUAAGUAUUCCACCU
rnacentral:rRNA from 1 species